rnacentral:rRNA from 1 species
GACGAACGCUGGCGGCGUGCUUAACACAUGCAAGUCGAACGGAAAGGCCCUGCUUUUGUGGGGUGCUCGAGUGGCGAACGGGUGAGUAACACGUGAGUAACCUGCCCUUGACUUUGGGAUAACUUCAGGAAACUGGGGCUAAUACCGGAUAGGAGCUCCUGCUGCAUGGUGGGGGUUGGAAAGUUUCGGCGGUUGGGGAUGGACUCGCGGCUUAUCAGCUUGUUGGUGGGGUAGUGGCUUACCAAGGCUUUGACGGGUAGCCGGCCUGAGAGGGUGACCGGCCACAUGGGGACUGAGAGACGGCCCAGACUCCUACGGGAGGCAGCAGUGGGGAAUAUUGCACAAUGGGCGGAAGCCUGAUGCAGCAACGCCGCGUGCGGGAUGACGGCCUUCGGGGUGUAAACCGCUUUCGCCUGUGACGAAGCGUGAGUGACGGUAAUGGGUAAAGAAGCACCGGCUAACUACGUG